UACGUAGGGUGCAAGCGUUAAUCGGAAUUACUGGGCGUAAAGCGUGCGCAGGCGGUCUUGCAAGACAGAUGUGAAAUCCCCGAGCUCAACCUGGGAACUGCAUUUGUGACUGCAAGGCUGGAGUACGGUAGAGGGGGAUGGAAUUCCGCGUGUAGCAGUGAAAUGCGUAGAUAUGCGGAGGAACACCGAUGGCGAAGGCAAUCCCCUGGACCUGUACUGACGCUCAUGCACGAAAGCGUGGGGAGCAAACAGG
rnacentral:rRNA from 1 species